rnacentral:lncRNA from 1 species
AGAUCCAAGUGGAAUUAAAGUUACUUUGAUUAAUUCAGAUAUAGGUUAUGGAGUAGUAUCGACAAAAAAAUUUGAGAAAGGAGACUUUCUUCUAGAAUAUGCAGGAGAAAAAAUUUCAGAAUUUGAAGCACUACAA